rnacentral:rRNA from 1 species
AGGCUUAACACAUGCAAGUCGAGCGCCCCGCAAGGGGAGCGGCAGACGGGUGAGUAACGCGUGGGAAUCUACCUUUUGCUACGGAAUAACGCAGGGAAACUUGUGCUAAUACCGUAUGUGUCCUUCGGGAGAAAGAUUUAUCGGCAAGAGAUGAGCCCGCGUUGGAUUAGCUAGUUGGUGGGGUAAAGGCCUACCAAGGCGACGAUCCAUAGCUGGUCUGAGAGGAUGAUCAGCCACAUUGGGACUGAGACACGGCCCAAACUCCUACGGGAGGCAGCAGUGGGGAAUAUUGGACAAUGGGCGCAAGCCUGAUCCAGCCAUGCCGCGUGAGUGAUGAAGGCCCUAGGGUUGUAAAGCUCUUUCACCGGAGAAGAUAAUGACGGUAUCCGGAGAAGAAGCCCCGGCUAACUUCGUGCCAGCAGCCGCGGUAAUACGAAGGGGGCUAGCCGUUGUUCGGAAUUACUGGGCCGUAAAGCGCACGUAGGCCGGAUCGAUCAGUCAGGGGUGAAA